ensembl:miRNA
CCCACCUCCACCUGGACCCAGUGUAGACAAACAGGUGUCCCUACUCCACCUCCACCUGGACCCAGUGUAGACGGG